rnacentral:rRNA from 1 species
CCUACGGGUGGCAGCAGUGAGGAAUAUUGGUCAAUGGCCGGAAGGCUGAACCAGCCAAGCCGCGUGAAGGACGAAGGUGCCAAGCAUUGUAAACUUCUUUUGUCAAGGGACAAAAUCAGGCUCGAGAGCCUGACCGAGGGUACUUGAAGAAAAAGCAUCGGCUAACUCCGUGCCAGCAGCCGCGGUAAUAAGGAGGAUGCGAGCGUUAUCCGGAUUUAUUGGGUUUAAAGGGUGCGUAGGCGGACUGUUAAGUCAGCGGUAAAAGCCCGGGGCUCAACCCCGGCGAGCCGUUGAACCUGGCGGUCUUGAGAUGUCGAGAGGUAUGCGGAAGGCGCGGUGUAGCGGUGAAAUGCUUAGAUAUUGCGCAGAACUCCGAUUGCGAAGGCAGCAUACCGGCGGCGAUCUGACGCUGAGGCACGAAAGCGUGGGUAUCGAACAGGAUUAGAUACCCGAGUAGUC